UUUUAGAUAUCAGCAGCGUCAGCAUCUGGUAGAUGUGACGGAGAUAUUUAAUCUACUCCAUCGAGAGAAGAAGCGGCGCCUUAUUAAGCUCAUCAGUCUCGUUGUCCUUCUCUUUCUUUCUUUAUUCUGGAUGAUCUGGAGUGUGUUGGAGGAUGACGAUUAGUUGGAGAUGCUGUGGUUCUGGUUACUGUGCAGUGCCCGCUCCAGCUGUAGGUAUCAGAAGGUGUGGUCCUAAGUCAGUCGGGAGCGCAAAAUGGUUUGCCGUCAUUUCCCACGUUGUGAUGCUCCCAUCUUGUUGUAACAUGUAUUUGGUGCUUUUCUUCAUUAUUCACUGUAGUACGCAUCAAUUGUUGAUAUCGUGGUGCUUCUGAUUGCUUCUAAACCUUUACUCUCCGUAUAGCUUAUUCCAUGAUGUCCAUGCAUGAUUAACCAAAGGAACUAAAAAGGAGCUUAUGCAGCUUCCUGCAUUUGUGCUUGCAUGAAAACAUUUCUAGUGGAGUAUUCUAUCUACAUCAAAAUUAUCUAUUUUAUUUAA